UAUCAAGCUACUAAGGGCUUACGGUGGAUGCCUUGGUGCUAGGAGACGAUAAAGGGCGUGACUGGCUGCGAUAAGCUUCGGGGAGUUGCAUAGUAAACUAUGAUCCGGAGAUUCCCGAAUCGGGCAACCGAACAGGUUAAUACCUGUUACUUAGAUUUAUCUAAGGGAUAACCAGGAGAAGUGAAACAUCUCAGUACCCUGAGGAAAAGAAAGAAAACCUCGAUUCCCCCAGUAGCGGCGAGCGAAAAGGGAAUAGCCCAAACCUAAUAUAUGUUCAAGCCUGAACGCUUUGUAUAUCAGGGGUUGUGGGGUCCGUUGAGUGUGGGUUCAGACACACUAAAAGGUAGACUGGAAAUUAGCUUAAUGCCUCUGGAAAGAGCAACCGGAGCGGGUAAAAGUCCCGUGAGCGAAAGUUGAAAGUCCCUUAAUGGAUACCCCAAGUACCACGGGAUAGGUCAAACCUGUGGGAAUCUAGGAGGACCACCUCCUAAGGCUAAAUACUACCUAGCAACCGAUAGUGAACGAAGUACUGUGAAGGAAGUGGUGAAAAGUUCCCCUGCGAGGGAAGUGAAAAGUUCCUGAAACCGUAUAGCCUACAAUCUGUGGUAGUGCUAAGUCACGCAAGUGACAUGCAUGACCGCGUGCCUUUUGCAUAAUGAGCCGGUGACUUACUCUGUGUAGCCAGAUUAAACAUUUUUGAUGUGGAGUCGUAGCGAAAGCGAGUCUGAAUAGGGCGUUUAGUUGCAUGGAGUAGACCCGAAACCAGGUGAUCUACCCAUAGGCAAGGUGAAGCAUAUGUAAAAGUAUGUGGAGGCCUGAACCCACCAAGGCUGAAAACUUGGGGGAUGACCCGUGGGUCGGAGUGAAAGGCUAAUCAAACCUGGUGAUAGCUGGUUCUCCCCGAAAUAGCUUUAGGGCUAGCCU
rnacentral:rRNA from 1 species